rnacentral:misc_RNA from 1 species
GAUGAAGAACGUAGCAAAAUGCGAUAAGUAAUGUGAAUUGCAGAAUUCAGUGAAUCAUCGAAUCUUUGAACGCACAUUGCGCCCGCCAGUAUUCUGGCGGGCAUGCCUGUUCGAGCGUCAUUUCAACCCUCAAGCCCCCGGGUUUGGUGUUGGGGAUCGGGCUGUACUCCAGCCCGGCCCCGAAAUCUAGUGGCGGUCUCGCUGCAGCCUCCAUUGCGUAGUAGCUAACACCUCGCAACUGGAACGCGGCGCGGCCAAGCCGUUAAACCCCCAACUUCUGAAUGUUGACCUCGGAUCAGGUAGGAAUACCCGCUGAACUUAAGCAUAUCAAUAAGCGGAGGA